CUCUUGGUACAGGACCUCACCACACGGGUCAAGAAGGUUUCCUUCUCAUUUCUACUCUGAAGCUCACCUUCUCCUGCUCAAAUUGCUGACAAAUGUUUCUGCUGCUCUAAAGUCUGGUCUCCAGAACUUCCUAAAAACUCUCAGAGUCUCUUCUGCUGCAGGUUGCUUUGUAGAACUGUUGCAGAAAACCUCACUAAACCACAUGGAGGGGCCUCAAGAUAGUCGUCCAAAUGAAACCAUACAAAAACCAAACUAGCACAACCCAAACGCUAAAGUCUCCUGCAGCCUACCAGAGAACCUCUGAGAACAGAGAAUCAGGACAGGAACUCUUACCUUCUGGACAACCAAUGCUGGUUCACAAACAAGAAUACAGAAUGUGUCUGACCAAAAACCUCUCAAGACUCACUACAGCCAAGAUAAAGACACAACUCAGCUGCACCAAAUCCACUAAUCACUGCACACAUUAGCACCAUGUGCUAACUGUGGCUAAAGAACAACAUUUACCAAGACAACUAUCCAGUACAAAGCCCUAAAACACACCAAGAAACACAUUAAAGAUGAUUUUACUGCUGGAAGCUGCAAGCCAACGCCUAAAGAACAAACUAAAGCAAAGGAGCCAAACCCGGUUCACUGGUGAAGAGAAACAGAGGAAAUGUUUGUCUGCAGCCACAUAAAGCAGGAAGACACUGAGCUGCUCAGGUGUUCCUGAUAACACCAAGCAGCCACCUGGACAGCCAAUAGGAACACAGCUUACUGGAAGUCCAGAGGGCGGGGUUAGUGAAGGAAAUUUAGUUUAAAGUUGAAGCAGAAAGUUAACAAAGAAAGUUGAAAACCACCUUCUGAUCCCUGAAAUCUCUGAGUUUUCACACAAAGAACAGCUGAACAUGUCAAACUGUUUCCAUAGUAGAACCCUCAUUGUAAUCUGGGUAAUAAUCCGGGUUCCUCAUUCCUCAUCACAGAACAAACCAACCACUGACGGACCCAUGAACACUUCAUUCCUGAAAGUUUAAAGCAGUAAACUGCACGUCUUACCAUGAGCAGGAGGAAAAUCUGAUGUUCUUCCAAAGGUCUCCACAGCAAACAGCUGAACAGGGACGGCAGGUCAAAGAUGUUUUUUUCCAGAAAGAAUAAAGCUUUACAGUUAGUCCUCGUACCGAC
ensembl:lncRNA